rnacentral:rRNA from 1 species
AGCCGCCGCGGUAAUACGAAGGUGGCAAGCGUUGUUCGGAUUCACUGGGCGUACAGGGAGCGUAGGCGGUUGGGUAAGCCCUCCGUGAAAUCUCCGGGCCUAACCCGGAAAGUGCAGAGGGGACUGCUCGGCUUGAGGACGGGAGAGGAGCGCGGAAUUCCCGGUGUAGCGGUGAAAUGCGUAGAGAUCGGGAGGAAGGCCGGUGGCGAAGGCGGCGCUCUGGAACGUUUCUGACGCUGAGGCUCGAAAGCGUGGGGAGCAAACAGG